GGACAAGCGAAUAAGUGCACAUGGUGGAUGCCUUGGCGAUUACAGGCGAUGAAGGACGUAGUAGCUUGCGAUAAGCUGCGGGGAGUGAGCAAACACACUUUGAUCCGCAGAUUUCCGAAUGGGGCAACCCACCCUUUUAGGGUAUUGCAUACUGAAUACAUAGGUAUGCAAGGCGAACGCGGCGAACUGAAACAUCUAAGUAGCUGCAGGAAAAGAAAUCAACCGAGAUUCCCAAAGUAGCGGCGAGCGAAAUGGGAAGAGCCUGUACGUGAUAGUCGGACCGAUAACAGAAUCCCCUGGAAAUGGGAGCCAUAGUGGGUGAUAGCCCCGUAUGUGAAAUUGGACCGGUGAUACUAAGCGUACGACAAGUAGGGCGGGACACGUGGCAUCC
rnacentral:rRNA from 1 species